rnacentral:piRNA from 1 species
UGAAAAAUGAACAUUUCUCACCAAAU